GUACUUGCUCCGGCAGUACAUAUACUAAAAUUGGAACGAUACAGAGAAGAUUAGCAUGGCCCCUGCGCAAGGAUGACACUCUCUCGCUCACUCUCGCUCACCCUCUCU